CUGGCGGCGCACAUAAGACAUGCAAGUCGAACGAACUUAAUUCGAAAGUUUACUUUUGAAAGCGGUUAGUGGCGGACUGGUGAGUAACGCGUAAGCAAUCUGCCUAUCAGAGGGGAAUAACAGUGAGAAAUCACUGCUAAUACCGCAUAAGCUGUGAGGAGCACAUGCUCUAAAUAGAAAAGGAGUAAUCCGCUGAUAGAUGAGCUUGCGUCUGAUUAGUUAGUUGGUGAGGUAACGGCCCACCAAGACGAUGAUCAGUAGCCGGACUGAGAGGUUGAACGGCCACAUUGGGACUGAGAUACGGCCCAGACUCCUACGGGAGGCAGCAGUCGGGAAUAUUGCGCAAUGGAGGAAACUCUGACGCAGUGACGCCGCGUGCAGGAAGAAGGUUUUCGGAUUGUAAACUGCUUUAGACAGGGACGAAAUAAAUGACGGUACCUGUAGAAUAAGCUCCGGCUAACUACGUGCCAGCGGCCGCGGUAAUACGUAGGGAGCAAGCGUUAUCCGGAUUUAUUGGGUGUAAAGGGUGCGUAGACGGAAAGACAAGUUAGUUGUGAAAUACCUCGGCUUAACUGAGGAACUGCAACUAAAACUAUCUAUCUUGAGUACUGGAGGGGAAAGUGGAAUUCCUAGUGUAGCGGUGAAAUGCGUAGAUAUUAGGAAGAACACCGGUGGCGAAGGCGGCUUUCUGGACAGUAACUGACGUUGAUGCACGAAAGUGUGGGGAGCAAACAGGAUUAGAUACCCUGGUAGUCCACACCGUAAACGAUGGAUACUAGGUGUAGGUGAUGAUAAGUCAUCUGUGCCGUCGCAAACGCAGUAAGUAUCCCACCUGGGGAGUACGGCCGCAAGGUUGCAACUCAAAUGAAUUGACGG
rnacentral:rRNA from 1 species